UGAGGUUGCUGCAGUCCUCCCUGCACAGCCUGAGCGACAAAAUGAAAAUCCAGGUCAAAGUCAUUGGACCCACUGGAGACGUAAAGAUCAUUGACCUGUGCUCCAGUGAAGAAGAGAUGGGGAAGAUCACAGUAGAGCAAUUAAAAAAGAAAAUUAUUCAAGAAUUCAUGAUAAAUACUGGGAUCAGGGUGGCGUAUGGAGGGGAAGUACUGGAGGACUCGAGGACAUUGUCAUCCUGUCAGAUCCAACACAUGUCCGUCAUUCAUGUAAUAAUGCUGUUGCCGUGUGAUCUCUGAUCUGACGGAGGCCGGAGAAAAGACCCUCAAUGAUGUGCUAUUUUUUCCACCUUGGACAUUAUUAAUGACUUGAAUGUAAAAGUGAAAUCUCUUCUGCCUGCAUUAAAAUGAAAAUCAAACAUCA